GACGAACGCUGGCGGCGUGCUUAACACAUGCAAGUCGAACGGAAAGGCCCUGCUUUUGUGGGGUGCUCGAGUGGCGAACGGGUGAGUAACACGUGAGUAACCUGCCCUUGACUUUGGGAUAACUUCAGGAAACUGGGGCUAAUACCGGAUAGGAGCUCCUGCUGCAUGGUGUGGGUUGGAAAGUUUCGGCGGUUGGGGAUGGACUCGCGGCUUAUCAGCUUGUUGGUGGGGUAGUGGCUUACCAAGGCUUUGACGGGUAGCCGGCAUGAGAGGGUGACCGGCCACAAUGGGACUGAGAUACGGCGCAGUAUCCAACGGGACGCAGCAGUGGAGAGUAUUGCGCAGUGGGCGGGAGCCAGAUGCAGCAACGCCGCGUGCGGGAUGACGGGCUACGGGUUAUAAACCGCUUUCGCCUGUAACGUAGCGUGCGUGACGGUAAUGGGUAAAGAAGCACCGGCUAACUACGUG
rnacentral:rRNA from 1 species